rnacentral:tRNA from 1 species
CUAAUACGACUUAUUAAGGUGGCAGAGUCCGGUAAUUGCAGAAGGCCUAAGACCUUUAUCCCGGGGGCUCAAAUCCCCCCCUUAGUU